rnacentral:rRNA from 1 species
GACGAACGCUGGCGGCGCGCUUAACACAUGCAAGUCGAACGGAAAGGCCUGCUUUCCCUUGUGGAUUGCGGGUACUCGAGUGGCGAACGGGUGAGUAACACGUGAGUGAUCUGCCCCCAACUUGGGUAUAAGCCUGGGAAACUGGGUCUAAUUCCCGAUAGGACUGCAGGGUGGUGCCUGUGGUGGAAAACGAUUUUCUAGUGGUUGGGGAUGAGCUCGCGGCCUAUCAGCUUGUUGGUGGGGUAAUGGCCUACCAAGGCGGCGACGGGUAGCCGGCCUGAGAGGGUGGACGGCCACAUUGGGACUGAGAGACGGCCCAGACUCCUACGGGAGGCAGCAGUGGGGAAUAUGGCACAAUGGGCGGAAGCCUGAUGCAGCGACGCCGCGUGGGGGAUGACGGCCUUCGGGUUGUAAACUCCUUUCGACCGCGAGGAAGCCACCUGGUUGGAAGGGUGGUGACGGUAGUGGUAGAAGAAGCACCGGCUAACUACGUG